AUUCCAGAAUUCCGAUAGUGAGGUGAAGAGGCAGGGGGCUGAAGCAAAAUGCGUUUCUGCUGUCAAUUUCUGCAGGCUGCAGGACUCCAUCAGGGGGACACAACCUCAGCACAUCUGACAUCUCGCAGAUUGGGAGUUAUAUUUCUCCUCUAUCACUGGCAACCUUUUGACCUGAGUUUUUGCCCCGUUUUGCCUUUUUGAAGUGCUCCUAUAAAUGCAGAAACAAGAACGCUGGAACCCAAUGACAAGUCAAGCUUCUGCACUAGAAUUUGGUUCCUAGGCUGGAAGCUUGGUGCCCAGUGGUCAAGUCACUGGUGGCACUGGCCUUGGGAGAAACUAAUGUGAUUUUCCUGGGGAGUCCAGUCAGUUUCUGUGAGAGCAACCUUGGACCCUGAAUCUCCUGCUUCCUGUCUCACCACACAACUAUCACUUACACGUGUUCCUUAUGAUGCCAUCCAUCAUGCUUUGACAAGUUGAACAGAUGGGGCCAAAUGGUCCUGGACAUUCAAGCCUCCAUAACUAUGAGCAAGAUUCUACCAAAAUCUCUACUAAAGCCUUACGUGACUGUGAGGAUGAACAUUGGAAGCAAGCGCUGGUCUGAACAAAUAAAGCUAUUCCUCUCACUCCACAGUUCUAAGAUGUAAGGACUCAGAACUAUUAUAUAAAUAUUACAGAAUAAAACUAGUAGAUUUUUUCAAAACAUGACGACUGGGAAUCUAGACACUCUCCAACUUGCCCUUGCUCCCUAAGUAUGACAAA